GGGGGUGCUAGUCUCUAGUUGGAUGCCAAUUGUGUCACCAAACUCUCAAGAGAAUCAAGCUUGCUUUCCAAUUUCCUACCAACAGAUGAUAAAGAAUGGGCAGGCUCAUGAGACUGCAGCUGUUGUGGUUCCUGAACAGGCGGAGAAGGCAUACAAGGAGUUUGGAAUGAUGGUUCCUGAUAUUGAUGCUCUNAAGUACCAUACCAUCCCAAGUUAGGAUUCGUCCACCCAGGAUCGUCGCUAUAACCAUACCGCACAGGGGAGAAUUUGUCAAGAAACUGAUGCUCAAGAUCUUCCCAACUGGUGACGGAUCCUGGAAUAAGACAACAACACCAAUCCCUUGUCGCUCCA
rnacentral:lncRNA from 1 species